UCUAGAACUCGAGAUAUGGGCUGAACACUGAACAGUGUCUGGGUUGCAGGACAGAUUCGGGCUUCUUCAUUGUUGCUACAAUUUGGACU
rnacentral:pre_miRNA from 1 species